AUGCAGUCGAACGAUGAUGCCCAGCUUGCUGGGUGGAUUAGUGGCGAACGGGUGAGUAACACGUGAGUAACCUGCCCCUGACUCUGGGAUAAGCGUUGGAAACGACGUCUAAUACUGGAUAUGAUCACUGGCCGCAUGGUCUGGUGGUGGAAAGAUUUUUUGGUUGGGGAUGGACUCGCGGCCUAUCAGCUUGUUGGUGAGGUAAUGGCUCACCAAGGCGACGACGGGUAGCCGGCCUGAGAGGGUGACCGGCCACACUGGGACUGAGACACGGCCCAGACUCCUACGGGAGGCAGCAGUGGGGAAUAUUGCACAAUGGGCGAAAGCCUGAUGCAGCAACGCCGCGUGAGGGAUGACGGCCUUCGGGUUGUAAACCUCUUUUAGUAGGGAAGAAGCGAAAGUGACGGUACCUGCAGAAAAAGCACCGGCUAACUACGUGCCAGCAGCCGCGGUAAUACGUAGGGUGCAAGCGUUGUCCGGAAUUAUUGGGCGUAAAGAGCUCGUAGGCGGUUUGUCGCGUCUGCUGUGAAAUCCCGAGGCUCAACCUCGGGCUUGCAGUGGGUACGGGCAGACUAGAGUGCGGUAGGGGAGAUUGGAAUUCCUGGUGUAGCGGUGGAAUGCGCAGAUAUCAGGAGGAACACCGAUGGCGAAGGCAGAUCUCUGGGCCGUAACUGACGCUGAGGAGCGAAAGCAUGGGGAGCGAACAGGAUUAGAUACCCUGGUAGUCCAU
rnacentral:rRNA from 1 species